UAUGACGGAUGCCCUCAGAGCCCUCACUGA
rnacentral:piRNA from 1 species